rnacentral:rRNA from 1 species
GAUGAACGCUGGCGGCGUGCCUAAUACAUGCAAGUCGAGCGAACAGACGAGGAGCUUGCUCCUCUGACGUUAGCGGCGGACGGGUGAGUAACACGUGGAUAACCUACCUAUAAGACUGGGAUAACUUCGGGAAACCGGAGCUAAUACCGAAUAAUAUAUUGAACCGCAUGGCUCAAUAGUGAAAGACGGUUUUGCUGUCACUUAUAGAUGGAUCCGCGCCGCAUUAGCUAGUUGGUAAGGUAACGGCUUACCAAGGCAACGAUGCGUAGCCGACCUGAGAGGGUGAUCGGCCACACUGGAACUGAGACACGGUCCAGACUCCUACGGGAGGCAGCAGUAGGGAAUCUUCCGCAAUGGGCGAAAGCCUGACGGAGCAACGCCGCGUGAGUGAUGAAGGUCUUCGGAUCGUAAAACUCUGUUAUUAGGGAAGAACAAAUGUGUAAGUAACUAUGCACGUCUUGACGGUACCUAAUCAGAAAGCCACGGCUAACUACGUG